AUACCCCAUUCAUUUUAUCUACUGCUCUGUUAAGACUUGUAUCACUACAUGCCAAAAAUGUGUCAUCAGCAAAAAGGUUUAUAAAUUCACAAUUUACAAAAAGCCCAAUAUCAUUCAUAUACAAUAUAAAUAGAAGAGGUCCCAAAACACUUCCUUGAGAAAGUACAGAAUCACAUAUAUAUUCAAAUCCCUCAAUGAACUGUGAAUCUGAGCUUGAUGGAGAAUGUUUUGUAUGCAGCCAAUAACCCAGACAAGAGAUCCUAAAUUCACCUUAAUAAAUUUACACCAAAAGUUAUCCUUUAGCUCAAUUUUUUUAAUGUUUGAAAAUGUAUAGUUAUCAUUAAUGUAAAUCAAAACACCACCUGUAUGUCUGCUGUUUGAGUCACACCUAACACAUGUAUACUUUUCAAUAUACAAUUCGCUAUUGUCAA